AAAUUGAAGAGUUUGAUCAUGGCUCAGAUUGAACGCUGGCGGCAGGCCUAACACAUGCAAGUCGAACGGUAGCACAGAGAGCUUGCUCUCGGGUGACGAGUGGCGGACGGGUGAGUAAUGUCUGGGAAACUGCCUGAUGGAGGGGGAUAACUACUGGAAACGGUGGCUAAUACCGCAUAACGUCGCAAGACCAAAGAGGGGGACCUUCGGGCCUCUUGCCAUCAGAUGUGCCCAGAUGGGAUUAGCUUGUUGGUGAGGUAACGGCUCACCAAGGCGACGAUCCCUAGCUGGUCUGAGAGGAUGACCAGCCACACUGGAACUGAGACACGGUCCAGACUCCUACGGGAGGCAGCAGUGGGGAAUAUUGCACAAUGGGCGCAAGCCUGAUGCAGCCAUGCCGCGUGUAUGAAGAA
rnacentral:rRNA from 1 species